rnacentral:rRNA from 1 species
AUACGGAGGGGGCAAGCGUUGUUCGGAAUUACUGGGCGUAAAGGGCGCGCAGGCGGUUUCGUUAGUCAGGCGUGAAAUCCCCGGGCUCAACCCGGGAACUGCGUUUGAUACUGCGGAACUAGAGAUCGGGAGAGGGUAGUGGAAUUCCCAGUGUAGAGGUGAAAUUCGUAGAUAUUGCGAAGAACACCAGUGGCGAAGGCGGCUACCUGGACCGAUACUGACGCUGAGGCGCUAAAGCGUGGGGAGCAAACAGGAUUAGAAACCCCGGUAGUCC